GAUUAACGCUAGCGGCAGGCCUAAUACAUGCAAGUCGAACGGCAGCACGGGUAGCAAUACCUGGUGGCGAGUGGCGCACGGGUGCGUAACACGUAUGCAAUCUACCUUUAACUGGGGAAUAACCCCUCGAAAGAGGGGCUAAUACCGCAUAACACUUCGAUGGGACAUCCCAAUGAAGUCAAAUCUACGGAGGUUAAAGAUGAGCAUGCGUCCGAUUAGCUAGUUGGCGGGGAACGGCCACCAAGGCAACGAUCGGUAGGGGAUCUGAGAGGAUGAUCCCCCACAUGGUACUGAGACACGGACCAGACUCCUACGGGAGGGCAGCAGUAAGGAAUAUUGGACAAUGGGC
rnacentral:rRNA from 1 species